UCCGCAGUAGCCUAGUGGUCAUGGUUUCGUAUUCGUGACUGACGGUCACGAGUCCAAGAGUUCGAUUCUUGGCUGCCAAA